AAAAUCCAUUCCCCAUCUCUAUCUCAAACGGACCCUCUGCUCUCUUCCAUUUCCACCUAGAUUCAGAACACGGUAUUGCAGUUCGGAUUAUCAGCCGUAACAGAGGGAAUUGCAGAAACAACUUAUGAUUAGCAACUGUAGCACCACCAAGUUCAACUUACAAUUAGCAAGGCUAGAUAUGACCCUUCAUUAGAAUGGCCUCCUGCUUUGGCUUGACAAAAUGACAUGAUUUGAAAGGUAUGUUAAUAAAUAAUCUAUUAAAUUGAUGCGGCCUUUCAGACUUACUUAUGCGGCCUUUCAGUCUUAGACUGUUGAGCUGAAAAGCCAACAGUGGGGUUUACCAGUUCACAGCAAAAAAUGAGAGGAGGCAGUUGUACUUGUGGACUGCUUUUAAGAGAAGUUCUCCUCUCAACAAAUGGUACGACGGUCUACUUCAAUCUUAACAUAUCAGAAUAUUGUCGCAGCUGCUAUCAACUCCCUCCGCCCCUUAUGUUAAUGAUGCCAUCCAAAACUGAAAAUAAGUUUUAGUCAUUGGAUGUGAAGAUACUCGAAAGGCCAUCUCCGAGAUUCUUCUAUCUAAAUGGGAUCCAAAAUAUUAUGUUUGUUGGGUGAUUAUUAAGUCCGAAAUCCGUCUGUUGCAGCAUGUUAAUUUAAAUAUUUUCUUACAGUAAUUUAUGCAACGGGCUAACAACAUUCUUCAUCACACUCUACUUGCAUUCUGGACCAAAUUAUGGUUGCUAUUUCUGAUUUUAUUCAUCAUCCUUAACCCCACUCAAUUUUGUGCAGCUCAUCUUAUGCUUAACCACUCAUCUCUUUGUCCUCUCUAUGCUCAAUUGGAGUCGCACUGUCCGGCCAUUCUUUCUGCCUUAUGUAAGUUCAAAAUUUUGUCUCACAUCAAGUUUAUUUGGUUCUUUUUUGUUUUUGUCUCAUCUGCUCGCUAAAAGUGUGUUAGACUCUGCAAAUCGUUCCUCUUCAUGUAAUUGAUUUUCGGAUGGAGGGUAAGCAACGACGACCACUGUUAAGGAAAAGCCAUUCUGCUGUGUCUUCAAUUGGAUGGGUAAGCCAUAGAAUGUGGGCAAAGGUUGUUUCCCAUUGGUACACCUUGAAGCUACAGUGCAGGAUUGGAGCUUUCAUUGGACUAAUACUCCAAAUGUGGCGACCUAUGGAUUGAGCAGAAUUUGAAAAGCAAAAGACUUUCGUAAAAUUUCCUAUACGAUUGGCAGUUAAGUGGUGUAAGAGGAAAACAACUGCUACAGCGUUUGAGGUUGAGGAAGAUGAUGAAUCUCUGCUUCAAAGUUUAUGAAUAACACGUGCAGUGCACGUGCAUUUUACUAGUCUUAGGUUUUGAUGAUAACUGAUCUGUGUAGGCGCAGAAAGGUGUACCUCACCUGCCUGCCAUAAAUUAUUACGAUUUUAUGGACAACUUGGAAGAUUGGGACUGAUUAGAGCACAUGUUCCAAGUAUCUGUUUAAAUGUGCAUAUCUUGGUGCCCCAAAGUUUUGCCGAGCAGAUGUCACCGAUCUAAACUCCGGACUAAAAAUGUGAACAAGUUUUAGAUUAUUGGGUCUCAUUGGAACGUGACUCGUAAAACUUUGAUGGCAAAUCUUGGG